rnacentral:rRNA from 1 species
UACCAGCACCCCGAGUGGUCGGGACGUUUAUUGGGCCUAAAGCAUCCGUAGCCGGUUCUACAAGUCUUCCGUUAAAUCCACCUGCUUAACAGAUGGGCUGCGGAAGAUACUAUAGAGCUAGGAGGCGGGAGAGGCAAGCGGUACUCGAUGGGUAGGGGUAAAAUCCGUUGAUCCAUUGAAGACCACCAGUGGCGAAGGCGGCUUCCUGGCCUGUUCUUGACGCUGAGGCGCGAAAGCUAGGGGAGCGAACGGG